GCUGACGAGCGGCGGACGGGUGAGUAAUGUAUGGGGAUCUGCCCGAUGGAGGGGGAUAACUACUGGAAACGGUAGCUAAUACCGCAUAAUGUCUCNGGANCAAAGCAGGGGACCUUCGGGCCUCGCGCCAUCGGAUGAACCCAUAUGGGAUUAGCUAGUAGGUGAGGUAANGGCUCACCUAGGCGACGAUCCCUAGCUGGUCUGAGAGGAUGAUCAGCCACACUGGGACUGAGACACGGCCCAGACUCCUACGGGAGGCAGCAGUGGGGAAUAUUGCACAAUGGGCGCAAGCCUGAUGCAGCCAUGCCGCGUGUAUGAAGAAGGCCUUCGGGUUGUAAAGUACUUUCAGUGGGGAGGAAGGCGU
rnacentral:rRNA from 1 species